rnacentral:pre_miRNA from 1 species
CGCUUUUUAUAUUCGUGCUGAGAUUUUGUCACACACCAGACCACAAGGGCCGAUGAGAUCUCCAAGAUAAGUGAAGCG